AGUGAACGCUGGCGGUAGGCCUAACACAUGCAAGUCGAACGGCAGCACAGUAAGAGCUUGCUCUUACGGGUGGCGAGUGGCGGACGGGUGAGGAAUACAUCGGAAUCUACUUUUUCGUGGGGGAUAACGUAGGGAAACUUACGCUAAUACCGCAUACGACCUACGGGUGAAAGCAGGGGAUCUUCGGACCUUGCGCGAUUGAAUGAGCCGAUGUCGGAUUAGCUAGUUGGCGGGGUAAAGGCCCACCAAGGCGACGAUCCGUAGCUGGUCUGGGAGGAUGAUCAGCCACACUGGAACUGAGACACAGUCCAGACUCCUACGGGAGGCAGCAGUGGGGAAUAUUGGACAAUGGGCGCAAGCCUGAUCCAGCCAUACCGCGUGGGUGAAGAAGGCCUUCGGGUUGUAAAGCCCUUUUGUUGGGAAAGAAAAGCAGCAGGUUAAUACCCCGCUGUUCUGACGGUACCCAAAGAAUAAGCACCGGCUAACUUCGUG
rnacentral:rRNA from 1 species